rnacentral:lncRNA from 1 species
GUCACAGAAUAGUAGCAUCCUUCCAGAGUGUGCAUCAUUCCACGUCAUCCUCACAGCUGGAAGAUGCACAAUAGUCUCCUAAUGGAGACAUCUCUGGGCAUGCAGACCCUGGCCUGACAGUGUUCUCACGAAGGGGACAUUCUGAACUGAUACCUGGGGGCUCUCGGGAGAGAAAAGACUCAUUUCUCAGGAUUGCUACCAUCUGCAGAUUGAAAAAGGAAAACAGAAAUUCUCCCACGCCCAAGUAAGCACCGAACCCGUGAUGGAGUCAGGACACGCGACCCCACAAUGGGACACCUUGGCGUCCGGAGAAUCAGAAACUGAUGGAGUUUGAGAAAAUGGCAAAAGCAGAGAGGUCACCCUGACAUUCUUCCUGCCCUUCUUCCCUGAGUUUAAUUUUCAGAUCCAGCCAGGUAUCCUAAGAGGUCAGGGAAAACUUUCUCCUCUCCCACAUGCCACUUGUCACAUGAAAUCUGACGUGUGUGAGCUGUUCCCUCUUGGAUCUCCCAUGCUCCAUAUUCCUCUCAAAAUUGGAAGCUUGGGGCUCCCAGGGCCACGUCCUCCUGGCUGGCACUGUGACUGCAGGCUGCACGCCCCCAGUCUUGCACCUUAAAGAGCAACAUUAACGUGCCACAUGAAGUUCUCAACACACUUGCCAUGUCCCACCACAGCAAGUCUGUACUCAUUUGCUUGGUUUUCAAGACUGUUCAUAACCUAGUUCUGCGCUGCCUACCCAGAAGUAUUUUCCAUUAUUUUACAAAGUGCACUGGGGCCACCGUGCUGGGCAGCCUGAGUGCUUUCCCUGUGAUGGCCCCUAGAUAACACACUGCCCGCAAGUCCCUCAGCUUGCCUUUCCCAAGAAGAUCAGCUGUGUCCUGUCUGCCGAGCUAAAUCCUUCCGGAAGACCCUUGCUGACUUUUCCAUAACUCUGUGGCAGUCCCUUGGCAUGGAAUUUCUGGG